rfam:Syntrophomonas wolfei subsp. wolfei str. Goettingen, complete genome.
UUUACAUACUUUUUCCGAACUUGAGGACCUAAAGCAAAUGCCAUGGUAUCAAGUCAUUGGGUACACCGGGAAACGGGUGUGCCUCCCACUGUGGAAAGGAGAACCUAUAUCCAAACG